rnacentral:rRNA from 1 species
UACGGAGGGGGCUAGCGUUGUUCGGAAUUACUGGGCGUAAAGCGCGUGUAGGCUGCCUUGCAAGUCGGGUGUGAAAGCCCUGGGCUCAACCUAGGAAGUGCACUCGAAACUGCAAGGCUGGAGUCCUGGAGAGGAAGGCGGAAUUCUCGGUGUAGAGGUGAAAUUCGUAGAUAUCGAGAGGAACACCGGUGGCGAAGGCGGCCUUCUGGACAGUGACUGACGCUGAGACGCGAAAGCGUGGGGAGCAAACAGG